UAAGCGGUGAUGAUCAGCUAACAUAUAAGAAAAUCCUGCUGUGUGUGGGAUUUUCAAUGAAAUACAUUUGUUACGCUUGGCUUCUGAGCUUC